GAUGAACGCUAGCGGCAGGCUUAAUACAUGCAAGUCGAACGGUAAGUUUGGUAGCAAUAUCAAACCAAGAGUGACGUACGGGUGCGUAACGCGUAUGCAACCUACCUUGUACAGGAGUAUAGCUCGGGGAAACUCGAAUUAACCCUCCAUGAGAUCAUAGAAUGGCAUCAUUUAGUGAUUAAAACUCAGGUGGUACAAGAUGGGCAUGCGUCUGAUUAGAGUUGGCGGGGUAAUGGCCCACAAGACGAUGAUCAGUAGGGGACCUGAGA
rnacentral:rRNA from 1 species